UUUUCUACACACAGACACACAUGAUCUCUAUUCCAUAGUUGAGUCAGUCCUUUGUGAGAGAUAGAUUUAAACACCUUAUUUGGAGGUGGUUGUUUUAUCAUGCGAUGCGACGUCCACUGACUCAACGUACCAAUGAAAAGGUUGAAUAAGUCUUAAGGAGAUCGUGCGGCACACAAAACUCAAACAGAUUCUUCUACCACUAUUGGUUUGAUAGUUUCUGCUCUUCUUUUCAAUAUUCGAUUGUAUAUUC
rnacentral:lncRNA from 1 species